GUAACUGCCACGUGGCCAACGCGCUUACAAUGGCGGCGGGAGCAGAGGAGUUUUCUGUGACGGAAAUCGCAAACUGCACAGCGUAAAGCCUAUACAGCCGUCAUCUCUUCAAGAAAAUGACAAAGUUUCUUGCAAUUAUUGUUGCAUUUCUGUUUGCCACCGUCUUGUCAUGCAAUAUGAUAAACGGGGAAUGUUGGUUUAACUUCACGAAGAUUGAAGAUGGAGACUAUUAUGGGUUGGAAAGGCCAUGCAUCGGAAUCGUCUGUAACAGCAGUAUGCUACAAAUUCAAGAAUAGCAUCAAUCGGUGGGAUUUCCCGGGCGGUCUAAUGAUGACAGCAACCAUCCGGUGUUCAACCAGUACAAACAAAACGGCGCCGCUACAGUUGAGGUGGAAGUGCGAGCAGAAAAACCGGCUGACCCGCAACCGGCUGUCCCGCAACUGGCUUCCCCAUUACCGGCUGCCCCAUCACAGGCUACCCCGCGAGGCUCGAAUUGUGUGCAACGCAGAAUUCAUACAACUAAGAGUGCAGCUGUUGAAUCAGAGUUUAUGACCAACUUCAAGGUGUUGAAGAAGACAAGCGAAAAAAGAGGGAUCACCUGCUGAAGACGAAGCGCAUGAGAGCUGAGCAUGCGCUUCAUAUGAAGUAGUCAAAACAAAUAGACGAGCUAGAAUGUGCAAGCAAGAAAGUCAAGGUCGAGCUCAUCCAGCUGAAAGUAGCUGCUGUGAAAAAAGAAUGCUAAUUAAAAUGGGACAAACACUUUUAUUCUGAACAUGCACUGUUUUUUUCUCUGCAUUAUUUUAGCAAAAAUAUUGCUGAAUAAUACGUGCUCGGGUUCCGAAGCCACAAGCCGAGUCAACGGGCUGUGGUCCUUGAGCUUGUGAAGCUGGGGAGGCUUGCUGAAGGUUGCAUGUGUCAGGAGGCAGUUCAUCACUGGGUCGGUUCUGGCCAGAGCUGUGAAAAGCUGCACACGCCAUGACGAUAAUGACAGAUGUUUUUGUUCGUAUCUGUAGUUUCAUAUCAAGACAUGGGAAUCGUUUACAAAUUCCGAAAGCCUUUUCGACGGUGUUCCUCGUCUGUAUUUGGGACUUGUACCUAAAUAAA